rnacentral:rRNA from 1 species
UGGCUCAGAACGAACGCUGGUGGCGUGCUUAUACAUGCAAGUCGAGCGAGGUAGCAAUACCUAGCGGCGAACGGGUGAGUAACGCGUAAGCAAUCUGCCCCAUAUCAGGAAAUACCCGUGCCAACGCGCGGUUAAUGUCCAGGAGAGUGGCCCCCUGCAUGGGGGGUUGACUAGAGAUUUAUCGGUAUGGGAUGAGCUUGCGUCCGAUUAGCUGGUUGGCGGGCAACGGCCCACCAAGGCGACGAUCGGUAGCCGGCCUGAGAGGGUGAUCGGCCACAUUGGGACUGAGAUACGGCCCAGACUCCUACGGGAGGCAGCAGUAGGGAAUAUUGCACAAUGGGGGAAACCCUGAUGCAGCAACGCCAACCGUGUGGGAAGAAGCAUUUCGGUGUGUAAACCACUGUCGUGAGGAAUAUGUGCUUCCGGCACUUGAUGUCCUUGAAAGGAAGCACCGGCAAACUUCGUGCCAGCCGCCGC